AAGUCGUAACAAGGUUUCCGUAGGUGAACCUGCGGAAGGAUCAUUACCGAGUUGAUUCGAGCUCCGGCUCGACUCUCCCACCCCAUGUGUACCUACCUCUGUUGCUUUGGCGGGCCGCGGUCCUCCGCACCGACCCCCGUUCGGGGGCCGGCCAGCGCCCGCCAGAGGACCACAAAACUCCAGUCAGUAAACGUCGCAGUCUGAGAAACAAGUUAAUAAACUAAAACUUUCAACAACGGAUCUCUUGGUUCUG
rnacentral:misc_RNA from 1 species